UUUUUCGUAAUUCCGUGAGGCUGAGGCUCAACGUUUGAGGCAAUGAGGCUUGGAAAAUUAAGCUUGGCUUUUGAGCCGCGCAUCUUGAAAGCGGCUCUAUCAUAAGCCAACGCAGCACCCUCAGGCGUAUCAUAGGUCCCCAGCCAAAGUCGUGAGCCAUUCUUUUUACGAUCCCUUAUCUCCGCAGCAAACUUUCCCCACGGCCUCUUCCUCACACCUCGAUAAUUUACACGCACGUGAAUCUCACGUGUCAUCGUGGCUGCCUUCUGUAAACGAAAUCCACUAGCCUGAGCCUGAGGCGGAGCAUGAGGCGUCGACUUUCCAUCAAGCUGAUCAAACGAAAUCCACCCCUCCUUAACAGUGUCGUGUAAAGCUUCGCAAUCCUCCAUAUUUCAAUGGAUUGAAUCAGAGUUAGGGCUUGAGUUCAAGAGUUUAUGUGUAUCACUGAAGCUGAAACUUUAAUCUGUAAACGAAAAGUUAAGCUUGAAUUUAAUUUGCCGGGGAAUAUGAUGUUAUGAUUUUGCUGUGUUUUCUUGGAUUUGAGAGUGAUCUGUACUGUGUAUGUUUCAAUUAAUUGCAGCGCCUGAAGAUUUUAUAAACGUUUUACUAUAUAAUUAUUUCUCUUAGCAUGCAUUUCCAAGAAGUUUCAUUGCUGCAUUUCCAUGUGGGGUUACCGCGCUAGAUUUUAAAUUUCUCAAUUUCGCGUUUUAUAUGCUUGGAUUUUUGUUUGUUUUAAGCCUUUUCUUAUUUUUUAUCUUUUUUUUAUUGUCCACUAAUUUUUACUAUUGAGUGAGGUAUAAUUUGACUAAUCAGUAACGACGAAAAUGAUUCAUUCAUCGAUCGUUCUCCCUUAUCUGAAAUUAUUCGGAGCAAAUAGUCGUUGGCGCAGGUAUAGACACAUGCACAUGCAUCAUUCAUGGCUCUCCACUCCCUUCGUUUCAAAAGUCAAUUAUGUCGGCUAGGCUAUCGAAGUGACUUCUGAGAAUGGGAUGGAUUUUCUUCUCUCUGCUCUGGCUCGAAAGUGAUUCUAUUACGGCGGCGCUCACAAUCUUGAAUAGCUCCAACUUCAAACUUCAAUAUAUAUAUAUAUAUAUAUAUAUAUAUAUAUAUAUAUAGAGGGNNNNNNNNNNNNNNNNNNNNNNNNNNNNNNNNNNNNNNNNNNNNNNNNNNNNNNNNNNNNNNNNNNNNNNNNNNNNNNNNNNNNNNNNNNNNNNNNNNNNNNNNNNNNNNNNNNNNNNNNNNNNNNNNNNNNNNNNNNNNNNNNNNNNNNNNNNNNNNNNNNNNNNNNNNNNNNNNNNNNNNNNNNNNNNNNNNNNNNNNNNNNNNNNNNNNNNNNNNNNNNNNNNNNNNNNNNNNNNNNNNNNNNNNNNNNNNNNNNNNNNNNNNNNNNNNNNNCAGCAGUAUAUAUAUAUAUAUAGAGGGUCAGACUACAGUAUAAUUGUGAUACCGUGUCACAGUUACAUCAGUAAUUGGAUCUAUUUAAAUAAGUGGGGUUCAUUUAAAUAAGUAAAAAUUUAACGAUUGGGUACAACUGUGACACAGUACUACAAUUACACCAUAAUUUUAUCUAUAUAUAUAAAGUCCAUUAAUUCUUAAUAAAUAACAUAAUUGUCUUCUUUGCAUUUUUUCGGUUCCCAUAAUUAUGUAAUUAUUUUUAUGCAUUAUUGCUUAGCUGACAUGGGCUUCUCUUUUCUUUGUUUUACUUGGUGUGCUGAUUUAAGGCGUUAAAAACUUUUAAAAUAAUACGGAUCAACCCCUCUUUCUUGCGCCAAAGAUCUUACCAUUUCCGAAGGAACUGGAGUCACAUCUCUUUUCCAUUUCAUAGUUAAGAAUGAAUCUAAACUGUUUGGAAGAUAAGAAAGUUGAGAGAAAAUUUGAGAGAUAGAAACUUCUAGCUCGUUCUUUCUUAUUUACAUCCGAAUCUUAAUAAAUAUGUACACAAAUAAUUACUGCUAAUUAUAACUAACUAUAAUAACUUCAGCUGAUCAUCACAUGCACAAGCGAUUACAUAAACACCGGGUGCCAGCUGGCAUGCCAUGUCAUCAACUCUUAACUAUAUGCUACAGCUGCCACUAUCCUCUGCUUUGCUGUCAACGCUGCAAACGUGAGCUUCCUUAACCCAAAUAAACAGAAAUUUAAAUGACGGAAGGUUUCUUUUAACUUAAAAUUUUGAUUUAAAAAGGUGACUUAAUUUUUAUUUAUUGGAUCCAUUUAGUUAAAUGGUGGAUGGAUGGACACAUAAACAUAAUACUACUUUUUAACUUUACUUUUUAAUUUUCAUUUCCACUCACUGUAAACUGAUAAUUGAAUCCUUUCCAAUUACGCUCUUCAACUCCGGAACAAUUCAAGUAAGCGUUGGUGAAGUACUUGCAAUGUAUUCUGACAAUCAAGUUAUAGGUUGAAAGAAGGAACUAAAGAAAGAACUGAAUGAAGUUAGAGAAUGAAUUAUAUGAGAAUUUGGCUAUCAAAUAUUUCUAUUGAAAAACGAUAGUAAAGAUAGUUGCUACUUAUAGAUCCUUGCAGAUUAGAUCCAUCGUGAUCUAAUCUCGUAUCUCGUUCAUUCAUUCUAGGGAUUAAAUUGAUCGUUUAAUUUUAAAAUUGUGAUGGUCAUGUCCAGAGAUCAACACUUGCUGUCUGAUUUUCUAAUGAAUUAAUGGUGCGUUUACUUACUGGCUGUGAGAAUGAAAAUUCUAGAAUCAGAAUAAAUAACGUAUUUACUUACAAAAUUAAAUCGAAACUGAAAUAGUGUUGGGCCCAUAAAUUUGGAAAAUAUUACCAGAGUUCUUAUGCACAAGAGGGCUUGGGAAUCAUAACUUCAUUCUCGAAAAUGACUUUUUACCCCCAACUAAACUUUCUAAUACUCAUUUUAUCCUUAAUCUAAAUAAUAAUUAAAAAUUAAAAAUAAUGAAAUUAAUAAUAACAAUAAUAAAAUUAAUAAAUUAUAACUAUAAAAAUAUUUUAAUAAAUAAUAAUAACUUAUUAUUAUUAUAAAAUUUAAUUACAAUAAUAUUUUCAUAAAUAAUAAUAUAAUAAAAUAAUGAAAGUAAUAGCAGGUAAUAAUUAUAAAUUAUAUUUAAUAUUAACGUCAUUAUUAUUAUUUAUUAAAAUAUUAUUAUAAUACAAUUUAUUAUUAUUAUUAUUAUUACUACUACUACUACUACUACUACUACUACGACUACUACUAUAAUUUUAUUUUUAUUUUUAUUUUUUGUUACUACUACUACCACCAAUUGAUAUUAUUAACAAAGGGUAUUUUAGUCAAUUAUGAUAUUUCAUUCUGAUUCCAAGAUAAGGUAAACAUAUCAAUGAGAAUGAAUCUCAUUCCGAUUCCGACUACAACUCAAGUAAAUAACUUAUUCUGAUUCUCAUUCCUCAUUUCGAUUUCAGCCCAUUAUAAUUACUGAUUAGUAAACGCACCAUAAGUGAUCAUGCAGAGUGUCUUUCUCUUUAUUUCUAAAAUUUAUAAACAAUUUGUUUCACUUAUUUAUUUGUCGCGUGAUAUAUUUUAAGAUUGACGUGAUCACUGGAACCACAAUAUAAAUGGCGUGGUGCGGUAUAUGUAAAAGCUUGCAUAAAGACAAUUUUUUUUUUCUGAGAAUAAGGAAUCCCUUAAUUAAUACUGGUUCUGUUAAAAAGUAAAAAACCACUUCUUUUGCAGCUCUUAUUGUGAUAAUAUUUUCAUGAUAGUAACGAGUUUUCCAAAGAUUAGAUACGAACAAAAGGGAAUACACAUGAAACGAACUCAACAAGUCCCAUUAAAAAAAAUUAAAAAAUUGUUGCUUCUGAUAUCAUAUUUACUCAACUCACAUGUGAACAUUACAAAUCAAACAAUUCCAAGUAGCACGUACUUAAGCAUCACAGAGAAGUUGAAAAGAAAGAUUUUCAUUUUUAGACUGUUUUUUUUUAAUCCUCAAUAUCGAAUAAUGAUGUUUGUGCAGAAGAGAGUAUAACAAAUUAGCACAAAAUUAUAUGAGACAACAAAAAAAAAAGAAAAAAAGUUUGUCUUGAAUUAGUUAAAUGCAUUUAGAAUAUUAGUUUUCUUAAUGUAUAAACACUGCCAAAUUUGGGUUUUGUAGAAAUUACUUGGCGUGGCUUUCUUUCUAUUUGAAAAUAUGAACAAUUUCAAAGCUAAAACAGGGUAAAGGUAGAGUGCUUUCAUGAAGUCAGAAUCUUCAAACAUGUAUUCAUAAUUGCUUCUAAUUUAAUUUAUUCGAGAUUUUCAAUUUCAACGAAUGACUAAUUCUCAUUUAGAUUUAAAAAGAUGUUCCGCAUAUAUAACUAAUAAUUGUAAAUGCCUUCUUUUAUAAUAAUUUAAUAAAAUAAAUGGGCAUAUUUUUAAUAUGAAUUUUUAUUAAAAAAAUAGACAAAAGAUAUUGAUAAUCGACACACAUUAAUAAUAUGUUGGUAUUAGGCCUAAAUCUUUUUGAAGAGCAGUAUAUAAAGAAGGUAAAUUUCACUCUAAUUAAUCAUGAGUACAAAGGAUACAAAAAUUUGAAAUAUAAAAUUUUUUUAAGAGAAAUAUACAAAUAUUCGAAAUAUGAAAAGAAAAUAAUACAAAUAAUAUAAUUUAAGAAUAAUAAUUAAUUAACAAAGAUUAAAUUAAUCAAUCUUUCUUACUCAAUAAUAAACAUACAUACAACAUCCACAUGGUUUAUUUUUUUGUUUCCGUUUAAUUCUUACCAAGGCCGGCAGUGCGAUCUCGAAUCUACAUUAUUGCAAUCUAAUAACUAACGUUGGCUCAUUUAUUUAUCAUCAGAAAUUAAUCCAGAUGCCAAAAUCCUACGUAGUGCAAAUAUUCUUGCAAUCGAGGCAAAAAUGUUUCAAAGAAGGCUGCAUAUCACGCGACGUGAUUAUGAAUGAACUUGGCACGAUUUGCGUGAAAAUUAGAUAUAUUUCGUUCAAAGGACACAGAAUUAUUAUAUUGCUGUGUUUGACUAUUUGGUAGACAGUACUAAAAAAUCUUGAAAUUACUACAUGUAGUCGUAAAUGGCAAGCAAUAUUAAAACCCAUGACUGUAACGUUCUUGUUGGAUUCAAGGUGGUUAUUGUGAUGUGAUUAGGUUUAUUGGAUUAAAAUGUCUGUCGUAAUUUUUCAACAGGUCACCUAUUACUGGAAUGCUCUGAGUUUAACAUGCUUAACUAUGGAGUUUGAAGUAAAAGUUAUCAUAUUAUUCAAAUGAAAACCAAUUGGUGAUAGUAAGGAAUUUUAGAGUAAAAGUUGAACCAAACCAAUUUAUGAUAAGAGAAUAGACAUUAAAUUAUUUUACUUCGCUUCCUUGUGGUCUUAAGAGUGAUUGCUGGACCUUAAGGCCAACAAAUUUAGUUAAAUACUCAACAGAAUUAAUAUAUUCCUUUCUCCUUAUUUAACAGUAAUAAUAAUAAAAUUUAAAUAAUAAUAACAAAAACAGUCUUUGGUAGCACUCCAUUUUCGAACAAAUGUUAUGUCAAACUAUCGGAAUUUCUUUUAUAUAUAUGUAUAUAUAUUACAAAACCGAACGACAUCUCAGAUUAUUUACAUUCCAACUUUGUAAAAACAUAAUUAUUCUUUAAUACCGCAUUUUUUUCUUUUAACACUAAUAAAGCUGGCAAAAAUUUACACAAUCUGAUUAUCCAAUACGAACAUGAUAGGAAUAAAUAGAUAUGAGCUGUCACAUUUGACAUGAUGGUUAAAUGGAUCGGGGUCCGGAUUUACACGAUUUUUUUUGUAUCAUGUUAGGGUUAAAGUUAAGGAUGGCAAAUUGGUCCAUCCAAAUUGGAUAUACAUAUAUCCAAUCUAAUUGGAUUGGAUAAUAUCCAUUCAAAAUCUUCUUGGAUAUGGAUAUUGAUAUUUUUAAAAAUAUCCAAUUAACAACUGCAGGAAAGUCGUCGGACCACUAUCGAACCUCGCUGGAAUGUCGUCGGACCACUGUCAGAAUAUCGCCGGAUCUCCGCCGGACUUCCGCCACCGGCCACCGGACCGCCAUUUUAUUAUAUAUAUAUAUAUAUUACUAAUAUAAAUAGUUUAAUAGCCAAAUUUGAUAUUGGAAUUUUAACUAUUUUAUAUUAUUAUUUUUAUAUAAUAAAAAUAAUAAUAUCUAUGGAUCUCCAUAUCUAUAUGGAUAAAAUCUAUAUCCAUGUCCAAUAUUAAAUAUUGGAUAUGGAUAUGGAUAUAUCCAUUAAGGAUAAUUAUGGAUUUAUAUUUGGAUGGAUAAUAUCCAUCCAUAAUUGGAUAUUUGUCAUCCCUAGUUAAAGUUCUUAACUCAUUUACCCAAUUAAUGACACAAUUAUAUUUUCUAUUUUAAAUUUAUUUGUUAUCAUCAAAACUCAAAUAUUGGACAUGAUUUUCUCUUUUUAUUUAUUUAUUUUUUUGUAAAGAGGAACAUAUACACAAUGUUUCAUUUAUAAAAUUUUAUUUAGAUUCAAAACUUCAAUAAUAUAAAUGCGUAAAAUAUUGGUAGACAUGUAUAUUUUAUAAAAUCAAUAUUAUAUAUAAAAUUAAAACUUAAAUAGUAUAAAUGUUUAAUGUAAAUUUUAUAAAAUAUAUAGAUAUUAAGCAGAUUAUUAAGUAACGCAUUUAUUUUUUAUGUUGGGUUGGGGUCUCAAUAUUUUGAUAUAAUUAUUAAAUAAAUCGUAUUUUAAUAAAUCUAAAUUUGAUACGAUACGAACACGACACAAUGACUCGUUUCGCCAACUCUAAACACUAACUUCCCUAAUAUACCUAUUUGUUAAAAUUUAAAAUUUUGACUUUUACCCUGUACAUCCCCUAUAAUCCAAAAUGACCUCAGCUAAAUAUUUGUAGCCUUGUCAUAAUUUAUUUAUCCCUUCACUGCAAUUUUUUUUCUGCAUCCACAAUCACUCCUCAUCUCUUCUAUCGGUGUUCUGGAUCUUCACUGUUUCCUCAUCUCAACUAAAUAUAUUUAAGUUCUUGAAUAUUUUAUUAGAGAUGGAAUUUACAAAAAGAACUAACAAAAGUAAAAAGCAUAAUGAAAGAGAAGAGAAGGAUUUAGUUUGGUUUCUGCAGUAAACGUCUUAUGGUUGCGAGGAAGAUGGGGAUCGAAGGAUAGAAAAGAAAAGAAAUUUAAUAUGUAUAAAAGUUAAUAUAAGGAUUCUGGUCGGUUCAUAAAAUAAAAAGUUCAGAUUUUAAUUUUUUAUAACACGCGCAUUGGGCCCGUUUAAGAUUAUUUUUUGGAAGCUUAAAAGUGUUUUUGAAAAAUUAAAAGUUAGUUUCAAUUUUUCUUAGAUUAUUGUAAGAAAUUAUUUUUGAUAAAAUUAUCUCAUCCGAUAAAUUUUGAAAAAUAAGGGAAGGAGCAACUUUUUAAAAUUGGCUUAGAGAAUCAGUUUUAUACUUAAUAUAAUUCUAUAUAUUCUCAUAUAUAGUAUAAAAAUAAAAAAUUAUUCUUAUUAGUUAGAAAAGAAAAUCAUUAAAUUUGAAGAGAUUAUUAUCAUUACCAAAUAUAUUGAGAUAAUAAAAUAAAUAAUAAUGAUUAAUAUAAAAAUAUUUUUUAAUUAUCAAUUAUUAUAUCUUUACAAUAAAAAUAUUUUAAGUACAUGUUUAUAAAUAUAAUUUUAUUCAACAUUAUUUCUAAUUCAAUCAUUUAUAUUUUUUUUAUCAUUUCAAGAGUCGCAUCUACUAAACACAUACGACUGUUUUUAAAGAUCACAACACUUUUAAAUUUUUUUUAUUAAAACAGUUGACUAAUUCUCUUCACAACAGAUUAUUUUUACAAUACAACUAAUAAUAAUUAUUUUAAAAGUUAUAAUAUUAUCAAAUUAACCUAAAUGAAUUACUUAAAGAAUUAAAUAAGUUCAAAUAACCUCGAUUAUUGAAGCUCAAUAAUAGGUGUAAGGAACUGUGUAAAUCUAUUAGUUAAAAAAAAUGGGGCAUGAUUAUCUUUCAUUGUUUAUUAGUUAUAUGAUUAUAUCUUGCCUUUCUCAUUUUAUUAUAAAAAAAUUUUGGAAAGAGAUGUGGAUUUGGUUUUAAAUAGAAAGGGCACUCGGAAAGAGAUAUUUUGGUUAAUCUCCGAGAUUCAAGCCAUUUUAUUGAGAAUGCAGCAGAGCAAAUUGCAGCAUGUUCUGAGAAGUGGUAACAGUGCAGCCCACUCAUUAGCCAAAUUAUCCUUAAAGCAAGAUUCUGUAUUCUCAUGGCUGGAAAACAUUCCAAAAAAUAUUUUGUCUGUAAUCACUGAUUUUGAGAAAUGAAAGAUUCGGUUUCAUAUCAAAAAAAAAAACUUUUGAUUUUGCUUCCAUAUUAUUGUAAAGAAUGACCAUGACACUGAUAAGGCCGAGAAAUGUUACAUCAAACAUAAAUGGGGCAGGUGAGAAUAAUUUAAAAAAGUGAUAAUCGUAAGGUUGUUUAUUAUAAUUAUUAUUUCUAACAAUCACCGCCGCCCAAGAAAAAUUAUUUGAAAAAGAUAAAGUAAAUCUAAGAGAUAACAAGUUGUUGAGGUUUUACUUUUAUCCUUGAAACACAAAAAAAGAAAGAAUGAAAAGUCAAAACUUAGGUGGUAUUUCCUUUUUAAUAACUAAAUUUUACCAUGCGCGCAUAUUAGUACAAAGGCCAAAAUAGCCAUGAAAAUAUUUUUUAUUAGGUGUUAUUUCUUUUUGAAGCCUAUUUGCAAGUCUUCUGGACAUUUCUGCAUUUUUCAGUUUUAGAAACAAUUAUUCUCCUGCAAAUUAACGAAGUCGUACUAGUUAAUAUCGAACUCAUGAUUUAUAUAUAUAUAUAUGUACAUAAUAAUUCUCUAAUAAAUUUUUUUAUUUUAAUAAAAUGAGGAUGUUACUAGAAAUAAAAAAAAAAUUAUUACACUAACAAAUAAAAAAUAUAAUAUCUAAUUUUAUUAAAAUUUAUAUUUCUUUAUAUUUUAAUAACAUCCUUACUUGAAAAUAAAGAUGUUCUUAUUAAAGAAAAAUUAUACACACACAGUUUUAAGUACUCGUUUGGUUUUCUUCAAUUAAUUUAAUUAAAGUAAUCGGUUAAGGGAUUGACUUUCCUUAGAUAAAGCGCAAAACCCAAAUUUUGGUUUGGCAAAGGUUGUAAUACAGAAAAAAGAAGAAGAAAAAAAUACAUAAAAGGAAUAAAUUUCAGUAAAAACUCUAAUUUUUCAUAAAUAUUCUCACACCUAAUGCGUUUUAACAUAGUUACGCUUAUGCCCUUGUCUCACUGCAACUGGAGAUUACUAGAAGACCGUGGCGGCUAGGCUCACAAGGACAUGUGGGCCAGCACGAAAUGACACCCUGAGUUUAGCUGAUCGUACCUUUGUCUUGCCCAAAGUUUCAAAGGUUAGCCUAAGCUGAACAUAGAUUGCGUCGAGCCGUGCUGGCUCGCAUUUUUGUUUUUCAAAAUUAUUUUGCUUUUACUUUAAAAAAAAUACUAAUUAGAUAAAUUAUAUCUCCAGUAAAUUUUCUUAGAAUUGCAUAAAAUAAUUGAUUAUAUAUAUGUUAAAAAAUUUAUUAGAUUUGCUUAACAUAAACCAACAAUAAUAAAAAAAAACUUAAUAAAACAAUGUUACCCACACUAAAUGAUAAUAAAAAUUCAAUUCAAAUUUAAUUAAUGACUUAAAAUUAAUUUAUAACUUCAAAUAAUACAACAUUAAUUAAUAAUAAAAAUUCAAUUAAAUUAAAUAAAAAACUAUUAGAUUUAAUGUUGUUCAAUUCAAUUUUAUUUUUUAAAUAAUAGGAAACAUUAUAAUCUAAAUAAAAUUUAGCUAUAAAAUUUGAAUUGUGUUUUUUAUAGAUUUUUUCACGUACCAUGCUUUAUCCCUUGCUUUUAAGGCUGGUGUGCCUAAAACUUAAAAUCUAGCCUACGUGUACCAUAUUGUGUGCCAUAACAAAACGUACUCGUACUGUGCCGCUCCACCAUUGGCCAUCUCUAACUCCAAGUAUCCAACCUCUCUUUAUAAAGGAUUUUUUCUUUUUUCAAAUCUAUGGUGUGCAUGGGUGACACAAGGUUUAGCAUGCAAAUUGUUUCAUUUAUAUAUUCCUUUUCACAUGGAUUAGAUUUGAUUUUGGGGUUUUAGGAUUUGGAUUUCACAAUUUGAUGGAUGUAGUGGGUGAUAGCAUUUUAUAACUAUAAAAAUUGUCCGAAAUGAUAAAUUAAAUUAAGAUAAACUUUAAUUCAUAACUCAGGUAAGAGGAAAAUUUUUAAUUUAUUUUUAAAAUUGUGGCAACUUUAAUUUAGCUUUAUUUUCGUUUAGAAGUUGAAGGUGAGUGGAGGGCGCAUUGAUUGUUGUUGUUAUCAUCAUCUUCUUGGCAAUAAAUGAAGGUAAAUUGAUAUUUUUACACUUUUAAAAUAUACUGAAGAUUGUUAUUCAAAGUAGGGUAAGUUAAAGUUUAUCCUUAAAUUAUUUGCACAUUCUUUGAACAUAUAAAUACGAAUAAACAAGUCAUGUCUUUAGUUAAAAUACAUUCUUACAUAGGGUCUUGCUAAGUUACAUCAUAAGUAACUUACAUCAAACUCAAAAAUAGUUCCCCAUAACCUUUCACUUGUUUCACGUACUAUCAUUUUUCGUAUUGGAUAACUACUUUUGGGUUGCUGUAAAGUAUAUUAGAUGUUACUUAUCAACUACCUCUUAUACAUACCAGAGUAGCACAACAUGUGUUUCUUAUAAUUUAAAAUUAAGAUUCGCCUCCAUGUUAUUUCUCGACCACUUAAUUUGACUUUAUUUUAUUAUCUUUGAAAGUUUCUUUUAAAGUAAUUAGUCUUUAAAAAAUUUAAGAGAUCAAUUUUGAAAAUCAGACAAGUUUGGGUACAAUAAAUUAUUUUAUGGAGUUAGUUUGUGUUUAAUUGAUUAAAGAAAAGGUAACCAUACCUAAUCAUAUCAUUUAUAUAUGUAGAGAUAUCAAGGACCUCAAAUAUCAAUGAAACCGGCCCUAAUCUUGAACCCAAGAUUGAGAUCAAUUCAUGAAACAAACAUAAUAAGCAACUGUAACAAAACUGAAGCACUCACAUCACACCAGAUUUUAAAGGAAAAUAAGCACACUUCUAUCGAUGAAAACACUUGGUAAAACAUCAAAUAUUACAGAGGAAAUGUCAAGCUAAACCAAGAAGCAAAUCUUAGAGAAAUUAACAACGAAUUGAAAUAAAACGAGAUGCGUAAAUUGAGCCCAGAAAUCAGGUUAUGUACUAAAAUUUCUGGGCUUAGCUAAUUAACUAUAACAAUUGGAUUUUUGUUUGCUUUACACGUCAAUUAUCAGAUAGCUCCCUGAAAUUUGUCUCUUUGAGGUUUAUUAAUAAAAUAAUGAAAAUGAAAACUAACAAUUAAUUUUUUUUUUCAAACAUCAGUGGUUAUGAGGGUAUUUUAUUAAUUCAGGAGCAAAUGGUUCAUUUAGGGCCCAUUUAGGAUAGUUUUUUAAAGGCUCAAAAGUGGUUUUAAAAAGUUAAAAUUUAAUUUUGCUGUCUAGUUAUCUGUUUUUAAGAAAUCAUUUUUGAAAAAUCAUCCCAUCCUAUAAUAAAUUUUAAAGGCAAGGAAGACAUAAUUUGGUUUAAAAAUUCAGUGUUAUACUUAAUAUAAUUUCGUAUAUAUCCUCAUAUGUAUUAUAAAAUAUAAAAUUAUCCUUAAUAAGUAAGAAAUAAAUUUAUUAAAUUUAAGGAGAUUAUUAUUAUUAUUAUUGUCAAUUAUUUUGAGAUAAAAAAUAAAAAAAUUAAUGAUAUAACUAUUUAUUUAUUUGUCAAUUAUCAUAUAUAAACAAUAAAAAAUAACUAUAUAUAUAUUUUUAUAAACGUGUAAAUAAAAUUUGUUUAACAUUAUGUCUAAUUUAAUUAUUAUUUCUUACAAUAGUUUAACAAUAAGAUUUAUUAAACAUAUAAUUAUAUAUAAAAUUCACAAUACUUUACAAGUUAUUUCUACAGUAUAGUUGACAGUAAUUAUUUUAAAUGUUGCAACUGUACCAAAAUACCAAACUGAUAGCAUAAGAAACUGUACCUCUCAAAUAAUCAAAAGUCUAAAAAAUAAAAUAAAGUGCAAUGCGUGCAUACACCUUACACCCCAAUAAAAAAGAGAAAAGAAAACUAACAACAACAGCAACAAGAUAACAGAACUUAAGCGAAAGAAUUGUCACUACAAUCAGACAAAAAAAAAUUAAAUCAUUAAUAUAAAUGAAGCCCAGAACAAAAACCACAAAUUAUUAAAAACAAAUAUGCAACAAAGAUGUUUUAGAUAAUUUUAUAAACAUAAAGACUAAUUGGGAAUUGCAACGAGUCAGUGAGGAGCCGGGGACUAAUUUGGACUAAUUUUUAUUACUUUUCAUGGUACUAAGCUGUAAUAAGACAUUAGGACCUAGCGGGGGCCGGUGGGUCCUAGGCUACCGCAAAAGUACGCUAAGGAUGAGCCGCCUAUAGCACGCGGAUUGAGAGCCGUCUUUGUGCGUUACGUUAUGUUACGUAGCAGAUCAAUUGUUUCUCCGAGAAAUGGGCAACAGCGUCUGUAUCAAAUUGAAUGUCAUUCUUAAUCAGAUAUAAUAAUAUUAGGGUUUCUAAUUAUUAACUAAUAACUUAAAUCUUAAUUAUUAUGUAUUGUUUAGGUAUGCAUGGUGAAUUUUUUAAUUUUUAAAAUGAAUAUUCUUUCAUCCAAUGCGUGAAUACUAUUUUAUCUGAGACUUGAUUGUUGAGAUUUUUAAAAUUACUAAAGGCAUAGAAUUCGACCUUCCAUAUUUUUCUUGUUAUUAACGAUAGAUAUUUUGAUAAAAGAAAAUGUUACUUCAAAAAAUUAAAUCUUUAACAUUACUCAGGGCAUAAAAUUUGACCUUUCAUGUUUUUUUUUUAUUAACGAUAGAUAUUUUCAUAAAGGAAAAUAUUAUUUUAAAAAAUUAGAUUAUAAAAUUUGUACAGAAAGUAUGAAAAUACUAAGAUAUUUUAAUAAAAAGUAAGUUGUUUAUAAAUUCUUCUUAUAACUUCCACCGAAACUUUUUAACCCAUUUUUUUAUCAAAAUAAAAAUGUUGAUAAAUUAAUAUAUAAUAUAGUAUAAUUAAUGAGAAGGCCUUUGGUUCUCUUAAAUACUUUCUCUUUAUCUGGUCAUCGUUGCCACAUGUGUAUGUAUAUUUUCAAAAUUAAUUAAAUAAAGCAUACAUGUGUUAAGAAACGAAUAGAAAAAGAGGUACUAGCACAGUAGUGUAAACCCCAUCUUGCGUAUGCAGCUCCAAGCAUAAACACUUGCAGUAGGUUUAUAAAUUGUAUGGAGAUGCUCUCCUAUCUUCAAACGCAAAAUCACUGACGAAUCCAAGAAACCGUUUUAAAAUCUUCCAUUUCCCCUUCUACUUUGAACCCAAAAAAAAAAAAAAAAAAUGUCCAGAGAAAAUAUCUCCGAUUCAGAAUUUGCUCUCUUAGAAUCAAUCCGCCAGUAUCUUCUCGGCGAUGAAUUCGACUAUCCUUCAGAAACAACCAUCAAUAUUAAUGAAAAUUUAUAUUAUUUCCCAACUAAUGCGAGCUUUUGUUGUGUCUCGAAUGACUCUCAUUCACAAGAGGGUAACUCUAAACCUAAUCCUAAUAUCAAUGACACGGCAAAGGCUUUGAUUAAUGAAAUUAGUACAGAUGUAAAAGCAACAGUACUAGUUACGCCAACUCAGACACUGGAGACAAAUAAUUACCGAGGUGUGAGGAAGAGGCCGUGGGGAAAGUUUGCAGCGGAGAUAAGGGAUCGUAAGAAGAAUGGCGCUUGAAUUUGGCUUGGGACACAUAACACGCCUGAGGAUGCUGCGUUGGCUUAUGACAGAGCCGCUUUCAAGAUUCAUGGAACCAAAGCCAAGCUUAAUUUUCCUCAUCUUAUUGGCUCUAAUAAUAAGCGUCGGCAUCUGGAGCCUUCUUCUCCUUCUCCUCCUCCUCCUCCUUCUUCUUCUUCUGCUUCUCGUUCAUCAUCCUCAUCCACUGUCCAGAGUGAAUCUCCGAAACCCAAACGGAUCAGGAUGAAUUAAUUUAAUAGGGAUUAGCUCUGGCUGGGACUGGGUUUUCCUUUCAAAAUGAGUCCCACCCUUUUAGUUUUUUCUUUUUGUUUUGAAAAUAACAUUUCAUCAACUUUUUAUGGGUAAAUGUGGAUUUGAAAAAUUAUACUACAUCAAUGAAAUUCAAAUUCAGACUAGACGGACUUGAGGGAUCCCUAUCAAAAGCAUUACUCAAAUACUCUAUAUUCUUAAUUAUCUGCAGUUAAUGCGGAGCAUAUACAAAAUAACUUGACUGUCCUCUCGCAUUAAUUCUAGUCUCAACAAUUUAAGAGUUCGUCAGGUGUUUAGAAAACUCUUGUCUACUUUCAACUCAAGAACAGAAGUCAUCACCGGACUCCGCAGUUCAUGCAUUCAUUAUGUUGCAUGCCCAUAGACAACGAAGGAACUAAAAAGCCAGCCACCAAUUUUGAAAGCCAUGAAUUAAGAAAAUAUAAUUUGUUUACUUGAAUAUUAUUUUUUUUUUCGACUUUCUCAAACAUGGCAAUUGGCAAUUGUCGUCAAUAAUGGUGUACGACCGCUACCCGUUAAGGUGACUCUGCGCUUGCGCCAGUACGUGGAAAAAAAUCUAUAAUUAUUAAAUAAAAAUUAACAGUGUAUGGUAAAUAUAAUUUUGAUAAAAAAAUAAAAUAUUAUAAUUUUUUUAUUAUAAAAUUAGUUGAUUAAAUUAAUUUGACUUUCAGGUUAUAACUGUUAGAGUGUCCAAUCUCAAUAUCAAAUGCGACCUUAAUGGAGUUACUCAAUUUUUAUCAAUAUGUAACGAGUCAACAAUCUACGAGGCCAAUUCUUGAAAAUAAUUAAUAAAUGUUAUAUCUUCAUUUAUAUCUACAAAUUUAUAUCUUCAUUCAUAAAUGUAUACUCAAUAUAAUAACAAGGGCAAACUUGGGUUUUUAAACUUUAUAGGGCUGAUUUGUUAAAGGACGAGUGGACUCAAGUCCCUACUGAAAUGAAAAAAUUUCUUUAAUAUUUAAUUGUGUUUUUCCAAAAGUCUUCAAUACAUUGUCAUCAUGCCCCCAGUAAAUUAUAUUCCAGCCCCCAAUAUAUAUUUACACUUAAAUUCUCACCCUCAAGAAUUUUAACUACAAAUUAAAAUAACUGGGCUUUUAAAACUAAAAUCAAGCCCGUAAAUAAUAAUUUUAAUUUAAUUUUUUAAAUAACACACAUACUCAUUAAUUUCUUUAUUAAUCUCACAUUUAUCAAUUCCACCAUCAGUCCAAUGCAAAUAUAAUAAUAAUAACAACAACAAUAAUAAUAAUGGUAAUAUUGUUAAUAAUGAUAAAUUAAUUAUUUUUAUUAAUUAUUAUUUUAAUCAUUAUUUUUAUUGUUAAUAAUGAUAAUAUUAAUAAAAAUAAAAAUAAAAUAAUUAAUAAUAACUAAAAUAAUAAAGUUAAUAAAAUUUAAUAAUAAUAAUAUUAUUAUUAUUUGUGAUUUGAACAAAGGUAAUUUAGGAAAUAUGAAAAAAUUAGAAUGAUAGAAAAGUAAAUUUAUAUUUCAUUUCCAUUCCCAACCCCCCCAUGGGAAUGGGAUUUCCAUUCUUUAUUCCCAUAUUGUGUGGGAUCCACAUAAUUUAUUUACAUUCUCAAAUUCAAUUUGUUAAGUAAACAUACCUUUGAUUCUCAUUUCUCCAUUCACAUUCCUUAUUCCAAUAAAUAAACACACCAUUAAUGUGUUUACUUUAUUUUGGAAUCGAAAUAAAUUACUACAAGUUACUAAACGGACCUUAGUUGAUUAUUGUCAUUAUUUAAUAAUAAUAAUAAUAAUAAUAAUAAUAAUAUAAGGAAGGAUAAAAUGAGAAUUUCAAAAUUUAAGUGCGGGUAAUAAGAUCACUUAGAAAUUGGGAUUAAUAAUUAUUAUAAGUAUUAUUAUUAUUAUUUAUAAUCAUUAUAUUAUGAUUAUAAAUAAUAAUAAUAAUAAUAAUAGUUGUUGUUGUUGUUAUUAACAAUAAAAUUUUCACAAUAAUAAUAAUUUCAUAAUUUAAGUAGGGGUAAUAUGGUUGCUUUAGUAGGGAAUAAGAUUCUCAUUCUCACCUCCUUCGUAGGAAUGGAAACUCUAAUAAUCAUUUUCAAUUUUAGGUGGGGCCUACCACUUUGAUUCUCAUUCCACCUCUCAUUUAAGCAAGUAAACACAUCAUUCAUUCUCAUUCCUUAAUUUUCAUUCCCAUUCCCAAUACGAAAACACACCAUAAUUGGAUUAUUGUCGAGAUCAUCUUCAAGAAGAUUGGAGAGUUUUCAAUCUUAUUUAUAAACAAUUAUAAAUUCUUACGUACAUUUGAGGUAUAUAUAUGUACAACAAACCAAUAUAAUCAUAACACAUAUACAAACGAAAUAUAUAUGUUUAUCAUGAUUCUAUUAAUUUCUAAAUUAUAAUAAAUAAUGUUUUAACUGGAUCUUCGUUAUCCGAUUUGAAACAUGUAAUGAUGGNNNNNNNNNNNNNNNNNNNNNNNNNNNNNNNNNNNNNNNNNNNNNNNNNNNNNNNNNNNNNNNNNNNNNNNNNNNNNNNNNNNNNNNNNNNNNNNNNNNNNNNNNNNNNNNNNNNNNNNNNNNNNNNGGCCGUACAGCAGGACAUUUAAAAUAAUAAAAUUAUUUGUGAUUUGAACAAGGGUAAUUUAGGAAAUAUGAAAAAAUUAGAAUGAUAGAAAAGUAAAUUUAUAUUUCAUUUCCAUUCCCAACCCCCCCAUGGGAAUGGGAUUUCCAUUCUUUAUUCCCAUAUUGUGUGGGAUCCACAUAAUUUAUUUACAUUCUCAAAUUCAAUUUGUUAAGUAAACAUACCUUUGAUUCUCAUUUCUCCAUUCACAUUCCUUAUUCCAAUAAAUAAACACACCAUUAAUGUGUUUACUUUAUUUUGGAAUCGAAAUAAAUUACUACAAGUUACUAAACGGACCUUAGUUGAUUAUUGUCAUUAUUUAAUAAUAAUAAUAAUAAUAAUAAUAAUAAUAUAAGGAAGGAUAAAAUGAGAAUUUCAAAAUUUAAGUGCGGGUAAUAAGAUCACUUAGAAAUUGGGAUUAAUAAUUAUUAUAAGUAUUAUUAUUAUUAUUUAUAAUCAUUAUAUUAUGAUUAUAAAUAAUAAUAAUAAUAAUAAUAGUUGUUGUUGUUGUUAUUAACAAUAAAAUUUUCACAAUAAUAAUAAUUUCAUAAUUUAAGUAGGGGUAAUAUGGUUGCUUUAGUAGGGAAUAAGAUUCUCAUUCUCACCUCCUUCGUAGGAAUGGAAACUCUAAUAAUCAUUUUCAAUUUUAGGUGGGGCCUACCACUUUGAUUCUCAUUCCACCUCUCAUUUAAGCAAGUAAACACAUCAUUCAUUCUCAUUCCUUAAUUUUCAUUCCCAUUCCCAAUACGAAAACACACCAUAAUUGGAUUAUUGUCGAGAUCAUCUUCAAGAAGAUUGGAGAGUUUUCAAUCUUAUUUAUAAACAAUUAUAAAUUCUUACGUACAUUUGAGGUAUAUAUAUGUACAACAAACCAAUAUAAUCAUAACACAUAUACAAACGAAAUAUAUAUGUUUAUCAUGAUUCUAUUAAUUUCUAAAUUAUAAUAAAUAAUGUUUUAACUGGAUCUUCGUUAUCCGAUUUGAAACAUGUAAUGAUGGGCCUUGGCUUAAUGCAUGGGCUUGAAUUUCUGGGUGAUUCCUGUUUGUUAUCUGGCCCGGUUAUGAAAGAAUAUUAACGUUGAGCCUUUUGAGUUUGCCUCUUAGCAGAAUUUUGUCUCUAAUAGAGAGAAGGCUUUCAUGACUUCGAGGAAGAGUAAAAAUUUCAUGAUGCUUUUUCAGGGUUAUUUUGUGUUUAUUUUCUAAAUGUGUUUAACCUCUACCUUUCCUAAAAUUUGUAUUCAAAUGGCUAAUUGAAAAAUUCUUUUUUAAAAUAACUCAGUCAAAUCGAGUCAAGUCGAGACGCACUUAUGGUUAGAUUCAUUAUGAAUAAAAGUUGAAAUUAAUUCCUCCAUCAUUUAAUAGACAAUUGUCGUUAGUUAAUAUUACAGUAUGAUGAAUCAUGAGCCAACGUAACCCAGCCCUCACCACGUUCUCAAGCUUGCUCACAUAAAGACCUGCUUGGCUGCUUCUGGGUAUAAAAGAAAAGUUUUUUUAAGUCUGAUGAUCAGCAAGAGUUAUCAUCGACAACAUCAACAAUACAAAAACAUCAAAAAGCGAACUCACGAUCCACGUAUAAUGUACUCAACUUGGUCGGAUUAUGUUGUCCACAUGGCUCCCUAGAAAAAAAUAUUAAUCAUGUGUCAUAAUUAAGCCUUCAUUAUUGUAACAUUAUUGUAAGAAUCUCUGUUAUAUAUGUAAGAAAGAAAAACAUGAUGGGCUGUAAAUCACUGAUCAAUCACGAAAUUGCCUAUGUAGCUAGACUUGGAUUCAUCAUACGCUGGCCGAUUCGUUUUAGAUUCAAUUAUUUUCUGAUAAAACAACUUAUAUACACUUUUUCUUAACAGUUAUUUUUUUUUUUAGUGUCACGCUUCGAGUGAAAAAUAAUAAUCAUUGAAGUUCUAUUGCUUUGCAGAAACGCUGGCCCAUAGUGCAACCAUGCAAUGGAUAAUCACGUGUCGCGUUUCUAUAAUUAUUUAUUUUCAAUUUUCAGCUUGUCUAUACAACUUUACGAACCGGAGAAAGAUUUUUAUGGGUCGAAAUUAAAUUCCCAUUAAGAAAGAAUCUAGCUUCACUCAACAAAAAAGAAAAAAAAAAGAGAAAAAUAAAAAUAAAAAGCCAAAUUUCCCACCAGAGAGAAAGACUAUAUCUCCGCAGCAAACAAAAUAUUGGUCUUUAAAAUAUUAUUUGACAUGUAACAUAUUUUUUCUACAGGUCUUGUUAAGUUACAGCCGCUGUAACUUACACCCCAUACAAAAAUCAUAUAGGCCCCACUGCCUGUUAUUUUUUUUUAGAAAAAGGACAUUCAAUCCCCCAACGUUUAGGAAAAGGGACAAAAAACCCCUCAACGUUUCAAAAAGGACUUAUAACUCCAUUUCCGUUUAGGAAAAGGGACAAAAAACCCCUCAACGUUUCAAAAAGGACUUAUAACUCCAUUUCCGUUAAUAAACACCGUUUGUUUUAAUAGUAAAUUUAUUUUUAAUUUUUAAUUACUAUUAUACCCUUAUAAUAAAUAUAAAUUAAUAUAUUGAUUUGAGACAUGUCACAAUUAAUAAUUUUUUUUAAACUAAAAAUUGAGUUACAAUUACAUUUUUGCCCAAAUUAUUUGCUAUAAAUUAUACCUUUCUAAUGAUCAAACCUUUCAUAUGUGAUUAUUAUUAAUAAAACGAAAUUUGAUUAAACCCUUUUUCUUUGAGGAAUCAAAACGAUAUUAUUAUUGUUAGAAAGGUAUAAUUUAUAGUAAAUAAUUUUGGCAAAAAAAUAAUUGUAUCUCAAUUUUAAGCUUUUAAAAAUUAUUAAUUGUCAUAUAUCUCAAAUUAAUAUAUUAAUUUUUUUAUUAUAAGGGUAUAAUAGUAAUUAAAAAUUAAAAAUAAAUUUACUGUUAAAACAAACGGUGUUUGUUAACGGAAAGGGGGUUAUAAGUCUUUUUUGAAACGUUGAUGAGUUUUUUGUCCAUUUUCCUAAACGUUGGGGGGUUGAAUGUCAUUUUCCCUUCUUUUUUUUUGCAUGUUUUUAAAUGGAGUGCAAGUUACAAGAGCUGCUUUUUUCAGCCUAAGUAAAAUUUUAUUGUUUAAAAGCCUAUGAGUUUAACUUAUACUCAAAAUUUAAUUUAUUGCCUUAAGUUUAUAUUUAUUAGUCCAGUAACUACUCUCAAUCUAUAUAAGAUAUUAUCCUCGACACUUGAAAAAAUAUUAUGCACCCACUUGUGUAUAAGUUUGACUCUAAUAUCAUAACGCUAACUUAAGAUAUAAGUAUUACUUUAAAUUUUUCUUAUUAGCUUAGAAGUUAUUCUUAAUGGAUGUGAGGUAAUAUCCUCAACACUUACGGGAUUUUUUUAAAAAUAAUAAUAAUAACAGUGAUUGUUAUGUAUCCGGAAUAUUUCCCCUCUUUAAGCAGGGAUUCACGCGUCAUUUACAAAUGUUUUUUAAAAAAAAAUUCUUCGACUGCAUAAUCUCUAAGCACGGAUUCUUCUGUCAUUUCUCUCCUUGUAUGGCUGUUUUGUUUCAAUAUUUCUUUUUUCUUUGGGUUGGGUGUUAUGAAUUUGUGGGCAGGUGAUCAUUCAAAUCCAGAGUUUCUAAAUCUAUAUGAAAUCUCUAAAUUCACAUUUUGUCUCUUAAAUAAACGAUAGGGGGGAAUAUUGUUGUUAUUGUUUUAAGUUCGAGAUAAUUCCUUCAGGCCGGUACUGGAACCCAAAGAAUUUGUCCUAAAUAAUUGAUAUAUGAAUUAUAUUUUUGUACAAAUUGUUACCGUUCUUUUUUCUAAUAUAUUAUGGGAUCCAUAAUAAUAAUAUAUGGGCAAUGGGUUACCGGGCACUGUUGGCUCUUUUUGAUAUUUUAUUUUAGAGAAAUUGUCAAUUCCUUUCUAUUGAAAUAAAUAUAUAUAACUUAACCUCUCCUAUUUUCAUAAUAACAAAAAAUAUUCCUAGAACCAAUAAAUCUGAAAAAAAAAAAAAAAGAGCGAACAUGCCAUUUGCUUGAUAAUUUAUCUUGUGAAUUAAAAUAUAUAUAUUUAUUAUAGAGAAAAAUAUGUAAAAAAAUACGAGAAAAAUACUUAUUAUUCAUCUUUUGUCCACGUGGCCCAAAAUAUACAUUUUUUUAUUAUUAGUACUUAAAAUGUUAGUUUAAUUUCUAUUUGAAAUGUUAGUUUAAUUUCUAUUUGAAAUGUUAGUUUAAUUUUUAUUUGUAUGAUUUAUUUAAUUUACAAUAAGUAUGUAUAAAAAUAUAUUUGAAAGUAAAGACAAUAUUAUAAAAUUAUGCUGGUAGGAGGGUUAUUUGUCAUUAUCAAAACAAUAGGGGAGUAAGUAGUUACAUUUUGAUUUCAUCGUGAGGAAGCUAGCAAUCUCCCUUUGUUCUAUGUUAAGAAAAAAAAAUUAGGUGCUCCAAAAGUAUUGCUAUUUUUAUAUUUACUCGACAAGCAAAGUGCCACGAUCAGCGGGUAUACUGACCUUCAAAAUUGGGUAAUUACAAGAUGAAACUAUAGUUAAAACUUUAAUAUAUAUUUCCUUCACUUAAUCAGUUGAGUUUUCUAUUAGAAAACAACAAGAAAAAUAUAAAUCUUCUUUAACCAAAGCCAAAUAGUAAAUUAGAUUAAUUCUUAUCACUUGAAUCUUUAUUGUUCGCAUAAAAGACACUCAGAAAUUAAAGUUUACAAAUAAUGUAUUACUUAAUUCUUGCAUAAUUACAUUUUGUAUCAUUUAAGACGGACCAUAUUUGAAUAUUAUGCAGAGAGUUAGUGAAAAAGUCAAUGAUCAAUACUAUAUCCACAAAUUCUUCGACAAAUUGAUGUGAUAUAGUAUGAUUUAGUGAAUGAAAAUUCCACAUAAUCUAUAUGAUUCUUUUUAAUUGUACAUUUUUAUUCAACCAAUCAUUUUAUGCUACAUCAUUAGAGUAUGUGUUUUUCUUAUAUUUUAUCUUAUUAAAGUAAGGGAUAUCUUACUAGAUAAUGGGUAUAUAUAUGUGUGUGUUAAUUAGUUCCCUUGAUUCAGAGAGAUUAAAAAGAAAAUCACAAAAUGAAUAUGUACUUGAUUGGUUCUUGUAGUAAGAGAGGAAUCUAAAGCAACAUACAUACAUAUCCCCCCUUCUUUCUCUUUUACCAUUCGUAAUUUAUGACCUUUUCUUGGUCAAAAAAGAAAGCAGUCUUUCUGAAUAAAUUAAACUUGUCAAUACUGUUUGUCUGGGAAUUUCAAUUCGUAGAGAUAGUUGAUCAAGUUAUUCAGCUAAUAAUUUAUAAUUUAUACUGUAUCUGCAUGCUAAUUCUGAUAUGGAAGAUUCAUUUCAGAUUAAAUUACAAAAGAAAAAAGAACUAAUAAAUAAAGAAAGAAAGAAAGAAAGAAGGGUAAACGGGGCAAUCGAUUUGAAAAGAAAUUAUUAAGAAGAAGUACGAUUACAUGUUAUGUAAAUUUGAAUCUAAGAAAAUUAAGCAAAGCAGCUCUGAUACUAAUAAUUAAUUCACCCGGGUCUAAAGGACACAACGGAUGAUGAUGAAGAAAGAGACGAAGAAGAGGAAGGAGGCUCUGGAGACCCACGCUUCUUGGUAACCCUAACCGGGGGCUCAACAUUUGAGCCAAUGAGGUGAGGAAAAUUGAGCUUAGCCUUGGAGCCUCGCAUCUUGAAAGCGGCUCUAUCAUAAGCAAAUGCUGCACCCUCAGGGGUAUCAUAGGUGCCCAGCCAAACUCUUGCCCCAUUCUUCUUAGGGUCCCUUAUCUCCGCAGCAAACUUCCCCCACGGCCUCCUCC
rnacentral:lncRNA from 1 species